GAUGAACGCUGGCGGCGUGCUUAACACAUGCAAGUCGAACGAAGCACCUUGAUUUGAUUCUUCGGAUGAAGAUCUUGGUGACUGAGUGGCGGACGGGUGAGUAACGCGUGGGUAACCUGCCUCAUACAGGGGGAUAACAGUUAGAAAUGACUGCUAAUACCGCAUAAGACCACAGCACCGCAUGGUGCAGGGGUAAAAACUCCGGUGGUAUGAGAUGGACCCGCGUCUGAUUAGGUAGUUGGUGGGGUAACGGCCUACCAAGCCGACGAUCAGUAGCCGACCCGGGAGGGUGACCGGCCACAUUGGGACUGAGACACGGCCCAAACUCCUACGGGAGGCAGCAGUGGGGAAUAUUGCACAAUGGGGGAAACCCUGAUGCAGCGACGCCGCGUGAGCGAUGAAGUAUUUCGGUAUGUAAGGCUCUAUCAGCAGGGAAGAAAAUGACGGUACCUGACUAAGAAGCACCGACUAAAUACGUGCCAGCAGCCGCCGUAA
rnacentral:rRNA from 1 species